AGCGAACGCUGGCGGCAGGCCUAACACAUGCAAGUCGAACGAAGUCUUCGGACUUAGUGGCGGACGGGUGAGUAACACGUGGGAACGUGCCCUUUGGUACGGAAUAACUCAGGGAAACUUGAGCUAAUACCGUAUGUGCCCUUCGGGGGAAAGAUUUAUUGCCACUGGAGCGGCCCGCGUCUGAUUAGCUAGUUGGUGAGGUAAAGGCUCACCAAGGCGACGAUCAGUAGCUGGUCUGAGAGGAUGAUCAGCCACAUUGGGACUGAGACACGGCCCAAACUCCUACGGGAGGCAGCAGUGGGGAAUCUUGCGCAAUGGGCGAAAGCCUGACGCAGCCAUGCCGCGUGAAUGAUGAAGGUCUUAGGAUUGUAAAAUUCUUUCACCGGGGACGAUAAUGACGGUACCCGGAGAAGAAGCCCCGGCUAACUUCGUGCCAGCAGCCGCCGUAA
rnacentral:rRNA from 1 species